AUGUGGACAAAAGGUCCACGAGCGCCACUUACUGCCCACGCGAGGUAUUUUAUUCUGCGCGCGCGUGUAGACACUCUCGCGCGCGCGAUUUUGCUCUGCGCGCGCGCGCAAACGCUGCCACGCGCGCGCAAACACCAUCUCACGCGCGAGAGGUGACAUGAAUUUCCUCACGCGCGCGAGCAGAAAUAUGAAUAUUUAAAUAAUCUCCUCCCACUGAUUAGCAUAACCAACGAGGCGGAAGUUUGUUUAGUCUGAAAUAAUCAGACACAGAUCUGAAGAGCAAUUGUUGAUAUCGUUGCUACGGUAACUGCAGCUGGCGUUUACUGACGAGUGGAAUGACUCUAUUGCUUACCAUUUUUAUGAAAACAUUGUUUUUAAUUGUUUAUUUCAUGGGCGAACUUGUUGAGAUUCGCAGACAGCAGAUGAGGAAUAAAUUGCUGAUCGGCGGCCCUUGUACGGAGGUUGUCACACACAGCCAACGAAACCACAUGGGCAACAUGGAAGAGCAAUUGCCAAAGCUUUUGGGCCUUUGCCUGGAUUUCAUCACACAGCAGCAAUAGGUCUCUAGGACUCUGGUUAGGUAGCCUGUAUACACUUUAUUU